rnacentral:lncRNA from 1 species
CAUUAGAUUUUUAUCAUCAUUAAUAAAGUCAUUUGUAGUUGGACUCGAGUACUUCAGCUUCUUUUUAAAUAUAUUUAAGCCUCAACCUCAUAUUAUAAUAAAUGUAUACAAGGUCAUUGAGGUAUUUCUAUAUCAAAUGAUUCCUUUGCUUGCUAUGGACAAGGACAACGAUCGACCAAUUACACCAUAGAUACUUGAGGAGACCAUUUGGGAGAGGAUUAAAGAAAAAAAUUGUCCAAUUGCAUUGGAUGCCAGGAAGAUAGAAUAGAUAAACAAUUAAAAUUUUGAUAACACUUAUGAAUUCUCACCUUGAUUCACAGUAAAAAAUAAUCAAGGUUGAAGAAGCUCCUCGAUUAAUAUGCUUCACGAGAUCCAGAUGCGCAGAUCCUCUACUUCGCAUGCAUGCCAAACGCUGUAAGAGAGAGAGAUGAGCUCUUUCUUUGGAGAAGAAAGAGAAGUACCCUUGAGAUCUGAUCUCAAGGCUUUGGAAUAGCCCACAUGCUACCAUGCCAAGAGGAGAGAGGACACCUAAGAAGAGAGAGAAGCUCAGGGAGAGAACAUGCCCAAAAGAAAAGGGAUGCUCACACCUUGAGGAUUCUCAACACCAAGCCUACGAUUGAUUCUUCCUUUCUCUUCUCCGCACCCCUCCUUAUAUAGGCAAAGGGUCCUAGAUCAAAUCAAACUUCUUUAGGUGCAAGAAUUAGAACUCUCUAUAUUUGGAUCAAAUUCAAACUUCAUAAAGCACAAGGAUUCCUAAUGCAAG